AUACGUAGGGGGCGAGCGUUGUCCGGAAUGAUUGGGCGUAAAGGGCGCGUAGGCGGCCCGGUAAGUCUGGAGUGAAAGUCCUGUUUUUAAGAUGGGAAUUGCUUUGGAUACUGUCGGGCUUGAGUGCAGGAGAGGUAAGUGGAAUUCCCAGUGUAGCGGUGAAAUGCGUAGAGAUUGGGAGGAACACCAGUGGCGAAGGCGACUUACUGGACUGUAACUGACGCUGAGGCGCGAAAGUGUGGGGAGCAAACAGGGUUAGAUACCCUGGUAGUCCACACUGUAAACGAUGAAUGCUAGGUGUAGGGGGUAUCGACCCCUUCUGUGCCGCAGUCAACACAAUAAGCAUUCCGCCUGGGGAGUACGGCCGCAAGGUUGAAACUCAAAUGAAUGGACGGGG
rnacentral:rRNA from 1 species